CAGGAAAUAGUUUAAAUUUAAAAUUUUAGUUUUGGAGACUAAGGAUAAGGAUUCUUUUUCCUGA
rnacentral:tRNA from 1 species